UACGUAGGGGGCAAGCGUUGUCCGGAAUCAUUGGGCGUAAAGCGCGUGUAGGCGGCUCGAUAAGUCCGCUGUGAAAGUCCAGGGCUCAACCCUGGAAUGCCGGUGGAAACUGUCGAGCUAGAGUCCGGAAGAGGCGAGUGGAAUUCCUGGUGUAGCGGUGAAAUGCGCAGAUAUCAGGAAGAACACCAAUGGCGAAGGCAGCUCUCUGGGAUGGUACUGACGCUGAGACGCGAAAGCGUGGGGAGCGAACAGG
rnacentral:rRNA from 1 species